CUUGGUCAUUUAGAGGAAGUAAAAGUCGUAACAAGGUUUCCGUAGGUGAACCUGCGGAAGGAUCAUUAUCGAGUUAGGGUCCUUGUGGCCCGACCUCCCACCCUGUGUUUAACGUACCCUGUUGCUUUGGCGGGCCCGCGCUCCGGCGCCGCCGGAGGAUCCCCCCUCUGGUCCGUGCCCGCCGACAGCCCACGCUCAAAACUCUUGAUCAACCGUGUCUGUCUCAAGAAUUACAAAAAAUAAAGCACAAAACUUUCAACAACGGAUCUCUUGGUUCUGGCAUCGAUGAAGAACGCAGCGAAAUGCGAUAAGUAAUGCGAAUUGCAGAAUUCAGUGAGUCAUCGAAUCUUUGAACGCACAUUGCGCCCUUUGGUAUUCCGAAGGGCAUGCCUGUUCGAGCGUCAUUAUCAACCCCUCAAGCCCCGGGCUUGGUGUUGGACACUCAAGGUGGUGGUGUAACCCAUCCCACCGGUCCCAAAGGCAACGACGGCGUCCGUUGGACCCCCGGUACACUGAGCUUUUAUAAAGCACGUACCGACGGCGGCCCGCGGGCGCGCGUCUCGUCACCCAUUUUUUCCAGGUUGACCUCGGAUCAGGUAGGAAUACCCGCUGAACUUAAGCAUAUCAAUAAGCGGAGGA
rnacentral:rRNA from 1 species